AAAGUACUCCCUCCGUUCGGAAUUACUUGUCUCGAAAAUGGAUGUAUCUAGAACUAAAAUACAUCUAGAUACAUCCAUUUCUGCAACAAGUAAUUCCGAACGGAGGGAGUACUAU
rnacentral:pre_miRNA from 1 species